UACGAAGGGGGCUAGCGUUGUUCGGAAUUACUGGGCGUAAAGCGCACGUAGGCGGAUUGUUAAGUCAGGGGUGAAAUCCUGGAGCUCAACUCCAGAACUGCCUUUGAUACUGGCAAUCUUGAGUCCGGAAGAGGUGAGUGGAACUCCUAGUGUAGAGGUGGAAUUCGUAGAUAUUAGGAAGAACACCAGUGGCGAAGGCGGCUCACUGGUCCGGUACUGACGCUGAGGUGCGAAAGCGUGGGGAGCAAACAGG
rnacentral:rRNA from 1 species